rnacentral:rRNA from 1 species
AUGGCGACCGGCGCACGGGUGAGUAACGCGUAUGCAACCUGCCCGAUACCGGGGUAUAGCCCAUGGAAACGUGGAUUAACACCCCAUAGUACUUUUAUCCUGCCUGGGAUGGGAGUUAAAUGUUCAAGGUAUCGGAUGGGCAUGCGUCCUAUUAGUUAGUUGGCGGGGUAACAGCCCACCAAGACGAUGAUAGGUAGGGGUUCUGAGAGGAAGGUCCCCCACAUUGGAACUGAGACACGAUCCAA